rnacentral:sRNA from 1 species
AGCUCUUGUUGAUCGGAUGGUAGAAGAAGGUCAUCAACCUAACGCGGUUACUUACGGA